rnacentral:rRNA from 1 species
UACGUAGGGUGCAAGCGUUUGUCCGGAAUUAUUGGGCGUAAAGAGCUCGUAGGCGGUUCGUCACGUCGGCUGUGAAAACCUGAGGCUCAACCUCAGGCCUGCAGUCGAUACGGGCGGACUCGAGUUCGGCAGGGGAGACUGGAAUUCCUGGUGUAGCGGUGAAAUGCGCAGAUAUCAGGAGGAACACCGGUGGCGAAGGCGGGUCUCUGGGCCGUAACUGACGCUGAGGAGCGAAAGCGUGGGGAGCGAACAGG